rnacentral:rRNA from 1 species
GUACGUGAAACCGUUUAGGGGUAAACCUGAGAAACCCGAAAGGUCGAAGGGAGAAAUUCAUUCGCGUUUCGCAGUUAGCGUGAAGCAGUCGAGUGACGGAAGACGUUCGCGUCGUCCGCACCUUCUGUUUUUCGAUCUGACAGCGAACGCGUGCACUUUUCUCCUGGUAGGACGUCGCGAUCCGUUGAGUGUCGGUUUACGGCAUGCGGUGGAGCCCGUACGUACGAUUUAUCGUUACAGUACGGACCUGCGUGGCCCAACUGACUUGCUCGACGGUACACGAACGGUUUUGGGCCGCUCUUUGAGCGUUCGGCUCGUUACAAGCGCGCCAGAUGUGUUGGAAAUCGGACCUAGUGCCGAUCCCGGCCUCUGGUGACUGUUGGUGACGAAGUUUUUGAACAGACCUUUAACCGAUCUGCGACGCUAUAGCUUUGGGUACUUUCAGGACCCGUCUUGAAACACGGACCAAGGAGUCUAGCAUGUACGCAAGUCAUUGGGAAUCAAUAAACCUAAAGGCGUAAUGAAAGUAAAGGUCUUCCUAGCGGAGACUUAGGGAGGAUGAGUGGUUCACUUCGUGUGGCCAUUCCGCACUCCCGGGGCGUCUCAUUCUCAUUGCGAGAAGAGGCGCACCAAGAGCGUACACGCUGGGACCCGAAAGAUGGUGAACUAUGCCUGGUCAGGACGAAGUCAGGGGAAACCCUGAUGGAGGUCCGUAGCGAUUCUGACGUGCAAAUCGAUCGUCGGAACUGGGUA